GGCCCGUUAGCUCAGCAGACAGAGCGGCGCUCUCCUAAAGCGCGGGUCGGCGGUGCGAUUCCGCCACGGGCCA
rnacentral:tRNA from 1 species